UUUCAACGGCCGCGGUACCCUAACCGUGCGAAGGUAGCGUAAUCACUUGUUCUUUAAUUGAGGACUUGUAUGAAUGGCUUAACGAAGACUAUACUGUCUCCUUUUUCUAAUCAAUGAAACUAAUCUCCCCGUGAAGAAGCGGGGAUUAACAUAUAAGACGAGAAGACCCUAUGGAGCUUUAAACAACUGAAAUACAUGCUUUUUACAAUUAAAAACACCUCCUGAGAAUCAAAUCCACUUUAAGCAUUCUAAUUUCUAGUUUUAGGUUGGGGUGACCACGGAGCAUAAAUCAACCUCCACGCUGAAAUUUGAACCCUCUUUUUAGUUUAAAGCCACAGCUUUCAACAUCAACACAUUGACUCCUAUUGACCCAAUUAUUUGAUCAACGAACCAAGUUACCCUAGGGAUAACAGCGCAAUCUACUUCAAGAGUUCUUAUCGACAAGUAGGCUUACGACCUCGAUGUUGGAUCAGGGUGUCCUAGUGGUGCAGCCGCUACUAAAGGUUCGUUUGUUCAACGAUUAAAACCC
rnacentral:rRNA from 1 species